rnacentral:rRNA from 1 species
UACGGGGGGGGCAAGCGUUGUUCGGAAUUACUGGGCGUAAAGGGCUCGUAGGUGGCCAACUCAGUCGGAUGUGAAAUCCCCGGGCUUAACCUGGGAACUGCGUUUGAAACUGGGAGGCUAGAGUGUGGAAGAGGGGGGUGGAAUUCCAGGUGUAGCAGUGAAAUGCGUAGAGAUCUGGAGGAACACCGAUGGCGAAGGCAGCCCCCUGGGCUAACACUGACGCUCAUGCACGAAAGCGUGGGGAGCAAACAGG